ACGCUCGACACCUACGGGAGGCAGCAGUGGGGAAUAUUGCACAAUGGAGGAAACUCUGAUGCAGCGAUGCCGCGUGAGGGAAGAAGGUUUUCGGAUUGUAAACCUCUGUCUUUGGGGACGAUAAUGACGGUACCCAAGGAGGAAGCUCCGGCUAACUACGUGCCAGCAGCAGCGGGUAAUCUGAGGCGGGCUGGCAAGGC
rnacentral:rRNA from 1 species